AGUUCUUAGCAGAAGGUUUAUCACUACUUUCCAGUCCAGAUGUCAUCUCCGCAACCCAUGCUUUCAUUUCUUCCCAUGCGGUUAGAUUCUGCUGCCAGGCUAUUUCUCAUGUUUGUGCAUACUUGAUUUUUGCAACCAGAGAAACGUGCAUAGUACAGUAUGUUUAUCCUGUGCUCAUCUGCAUUGAGAAGGCUGAAGCUUAUCCUACAACAUUGUCUGCUGCCCUCACUUCCUAAGAUCAAAUCAGUUUUUUGUAUCAUCUUCAUCUGAGUCCAUGUAUGAAGAAAAUCUCAACACAGACAAUCCUGGGUUAUACUCCUAGAACCAUGGUGAAAACACUGCAGAACAGCUCCUGCUCUGUACAGACCAAGGCUGGAGGUGUGCAAACUGCUCAUCACCCACAUUUAGUGUGCUGAAAAGACACACCCAAAAGAAGGGGUAGAGGAUCCUGCUAAACAAGUUACCAUACCUGCAGCUUUCUGCACUGAGAUUUUUCACUGCAACUAGAACAGCAGGUCUUUGGGCCAUCAAUAAGCAUUUGAUUCAGCUGAACUUUCUUGAGGUCACUGGUGUAAAACUGAAUCAAAGCAAGCUGCCUUAACUAUCAAUUCUUCUGCCCCUCGGUGCUAUAAUUAAGUCUGUAUAUGUGAAAUUAGAAGAAAAAGCUUGUAUCCUGGUGGCUGAGAAGUCUGUCAUCUUGUGAUGCAUCAUAAGAUGUUUGGAUUUACAUGAUAAUCACUUUGUUUUGCUCAGUGUUCUUGUGCCACAUCUCAUGGUGUCUCAUGACAGAGAACUCAGGAGUUGGCUCAUGUUUUGCCCAUACCAUUGUCUCUAAACUUGCAUAAAAUUCCCUGGUUUAUGAGGAACAGAGUGAUACUGUUAACUUUUUUCUUUUUUUUUUCUUUUCUUUUACCAGAUAUGAAGGGUUCAGUUUUUCUUCUGUGAUUCCCAGAACUGGAACCAAAAGUGAAUGUUCACCUGGCCACAUGCCCGAGCUGCAAGGCUGGUCUGACAGAGGUGCCCAGCACAGCAGCCCGUCCUCACCAUCCUCAGGGUUUCUGCGCACCCCUGGGUGUUGCUGAGUACACACCCCAGCUGUGACACAUUUGGAUCCUUUCCAUGUCAGCUACAGAAGAAUCCUUCUAUCAUGCAAGGAGAAGUCUGGAAAGGAUAAGCACAUCCUUGUACCUUUCUUUCUUAUUUUUUUUCCUGUGUCAUCAAUGCAUAUUGGAAAAGAAAAGAAAAUACAACUAAAGCAAUCUAGUUCUAUUUUAGAUGACGACUUGGGAGCCUUACUUUAAGGAACCAGCCUUUUAAACAUUUCAUAGGACAGGAGUGCUAAUCCUGAAGCUAACAUUGCAUGCAGAUUUAUAAAUAGCAUGCAAAGGUUUUGCUGCCAAUAAUCCCUGAAAAACGUAUUGAUAGUUCUCUGGUGCAUGAAGUGAGCUGCUACUGUUAGAGCUCACAGGUGUACAAACUACAAAGAAAAUGAGCUUUCUUUUUUAUUAAAGUCUUAUUUACAAGUGUAAUUUGGUAAUUAAAAAUAUAGAUCUACCAACA